CAUGGCUAUCAUAUCACCCCUUAACCUUCUCUUCUCCAGGGUAAACAUACCCAGCUCUCUAAGCCGUUCCUCAUAAGGCAUCGUUUCCAGGCCUUUGACCAUUUUGGUUGCCCUCUUCUGGACACAUUCCAGCUUGUCAGUAUCCUUCUUGAACUGUGGUGCCCAGAACUGGACACAGUACUCCAGGUGAGGUCUGACCAGAGCAGAAUACAGUGGUACUAUUACUUCCCUUGAUCUAGAUGCUAUAUAUGGGGAGUAUAUAUGGGGAGGGCUGUUAGGUGUGCAAACAUGUAACAGGUUAGUCCAGUAGGUCAAGUGCUUGCAGACAGGGGGGCCUGUGCAGAAUUAGGUGAAUCACAAUGUGCCUCUUGGCAUUAUUAUGAAAAUAGUUCACAGAGCAACAUGGGGGAGGGGAGAGAGGAGGAGGCAUUUCCUUCCCCUGAGAAGUUUGCAGCCUAAAUUUCCCAGGACAUGGUCCAUGAAGGCACAUAUUGGUGUGGAUCAGGGCCUGGAUGGGAGACUACCUGGGGUGCCUAGGAGCAUAGGAAGCUGUAUUAUCAGACCAUUGGUCCAUCUAGUUCACUGCUGUCUAUACCGCCUGACAGCAGCUCUCCAGAGUUUCAGGCGGGAGUCUCUACUAAUCCUAUCUUCAGAUGCUGGGGAUUGAAUGUGGGACCUUCUGCAUGCAAGGCAGAUGCUCUACUAUUCCUUUCUUCCUCUGUGCACUGCCUUGAGUUCUGUGAUUGAAGAAAGGCAGGCUCUCAAUAUAACAGAUGAUUUCCAGCCUUUGGGAAAGGAUAAUGGGGAGAAGGUGAGCAAAAUCAGCAAAGUGUGCUUGGACUUUAAGGCAGCCUUUACCCAACUUGGUGCCCUCCAGAUAUACAGGGCUACAACUCCCAUUGGCCCCUGCCAGCACAGCUGUUGGAUGUAGGCACUCCCAUGAGUUGUAUUUCAAAACAACUGGAGGACACUAGGUUAGUGAAGGCAGUGUUAGGGAGCAGAAUAAGGGUUUGUACCAAAAGCUUCUCAGAAGAGGUGGUGAAGGAUGGUAUAUACAUGACCCAUGUUGUGAGAGUGCACGUGCACAUGUACCUAUAGUUGGCAGUCGCCUAGCACUAUCCAUCCUGUGGUGGACAUUGGUGUGUGUGCGUGCAGACAAGCAGGGAUGAGGGUCAUCCCAGUGCUAAUUCUUAGGGAUAGGGGAAGGGCAAGCUGGGGUGUGUGUGUGCAAUUGCACGUAUUGCUUUAUAUCCCACUCUUUUCUCCAAGUUGCUCAAGGUGGUGUACAUUCUCCCUCCUCAUUUAAUCCCCAAACAACCCUGUGAGGUAGGUUAGGCUGAGAUGCCCAGUGGACUUUCUUGCCAAGUGGUGAUUUGAGCCCUGGUCUCUCCCAAGUCCUAGUUCAAUACACUAACCACUACACAGCGCUGGCUGUAUGGUUUAUGGGAGCAGCCAAUGUUUGCUGUUCCGUACAUUGCACUUUGCACUUAGCACUGACAAGCAAAUGUUGAGGCCACUUUUUUUCAAAGCCAUUCAGUGGUUUGUGCCAGUGGAUUAAUUUUUAUAAGCCUGUCUAUAAAGUUGUAUGUCACAGAGGGAGCCUGAUUUCAUUUUGGAUCCCAGAUUCCUUAAUUUGUGGGGAUAAGCUGAAUUCCCAUUGAUAUUACUACCCAUGUUCAGAUUUUGCUGUUAUAGUCAGGUCAAAGCGCUACCCGCCACUGGAACCAAGAUUGCUUGCCUGGUCAAAUAUGGGUGCCUAGACCACCUUCCCUCUGCUAUCAUGGAAUGACUUAUGCAUGAAUUUCAUAACUAGGCAUCCUCUCCAAAUGGUGUGCUGCCCCAUUGAACACGUCCACAGGUACAUGGUACAUGACAGGCACCCUCUGUCUUCUUCUGGCUCAUGUGUGCACAAUGACCAUGAAUGGCGCCAAGGAUUGUUUGAUGCUUGGUUGUGGAAAAAAUUAUUCUGACUCAGAAACAAUAUUUCCUUAUUUAUUUAGGUAAUUUUAUACUGCUUUGUACUUUAAGGAAGCUUCUGAGGGGUUUACAGCAUCUGAAAAAAACACACAAAUAAGAUAAAAUAAAAGUUCCACAUUUUAGCGCAGCAGAAAACAUGGAGUCAUAGAAUUGUAGAGUUGGAAGGGCCAUCUAGUCUAACCCCCUGAAAUGCAGAAAUCACAGUUAAAGAUAGAUUUUGUUGUUGUUUAGUCUAGAUAGGUUAUCCUUAAAUGUCAAUAUAAACCAAAACAAUAAAUAGAUGGGGCCUGUAAUAACUACUAGCGGAGCUGAAAUGCAGCAGAGACAACCAGCCCCAUCUGCCAAAUACACAAGCUUUUAUUUAUAGGUAGCAGCAACACUCUCUGCUCGCUCCCCACCUUAAGCUGACACAAGAAAGGUGCGUGGGGGGGUGGGAAUGAUACACUCGCCACCCCAACCCACCCUUGGAAUUCCCUGCUGUCAUCAGGGAGCACCCGCGCUCUUUGAGCACCAAUGAGGUGCAGUUUAGAGUGCUGGACUCUGACCUGGAAGAGCAGGAUUCGAAUUGCCACUUGGCCAUGAAGCUCUUACUGGGUGGCUUUGGCCAGUCACUGCCUAUCAGCCUAACCUACUGCACAGAUGUGUUAUAGGGAUUAUAUGAGGAGAGGGAGAACCAUGUACACCGUCUUAAGCUCCUUGGAAGAAAAGGUGGGAUAUUCAUGUAAGAAAUAAACAAGUUCCUACCUCGUUAAAAGCUGCGUUCAGAACUUGGGGGGAACUUCAGAGACUGGCUCCUCAGCCUCAAGACUGUAAUAGCUCCAUCUUGGCCUAUAUUUAUUAUGGGCUACAUACACAGCCCUUUCUUUUUUUAGAAUAGCAAAAAAAGAAGAAGUCAUUUUCCAGGUAUCUAAUUUGAAGAACAGUAUCUCUCUGGGAAACAAGGAAUGCUCGGCCCCUGAUUGAAGUUGCCUUGCAGAUACCAGUCUCUGAAGAAACUGUUAGCUAGCUUCCCUAAAAUAUUUUUCUCCUUGUCCUAUUAAACAUCUCUCCCCCCUCCCGCCCAGUCACCACCACCUUCAUGGGGGAAGAUAAAAUGUGUGCUUGAUAACAGGUGAAACAGCUCAUAUUGUGAAGUUUGAAAGCAAGCAAAAAACCUAGUUUGGUAUAUUUAGAAGAACCUGCUGAACUUGAAUGUCUCAGUGCUGAAUUUUCAAUGAGGGAUGAUGUCAUUUUUCAAGAGAAGAAAUUGUUUUAAUGCAUCCUAGAAAUUCUGGUCUUUGUCAGUGUCUGAAGGCAGACCACAGUCAUUUGGUAGAUCAAGAAUAGGUAAAUCUAAUUGGAUCAGAUGUUGGGGCAUCCAGAAUCAAUAUCUCCUGAGCUUAAAAUGGGUUUUUGUCAUGGGGCCAAAACAUUUUUGGGUGGGUGGGAGAAAUGCUUCAACUUCACAAGGCUUUCACAUCAUUAAAAAGCUUAUCUCAUUUUAAUUAAAACUAGUUUCACUGCAGUCUUCUCGAGUAUUACUGUAGGUGGGUGGAUUCUAGAUUUGACCAAUAAUAUUGAAACAUGUGAACAUAUGACAGCUGCCUUUAUGUGCCAGACCAUCCUGAUAUACAUCAGGCUGAAAAUGCUCCCAUGAACACAGAAAGCUGCUAUAUGCAGAGUCAGGUUAGUGGUCCACAAUUUCAGCUUUUCCUGACUUGCAGUUUUGGACUACAAAUCCCAUCUGCCCCAACCAACCUUCAUCAUUCUAGCUGGGGGCCUGGGGCCAAUGGGAAUUGUAGUCUAACAGCUUCUGGAGAGCACCAGGUUGGGGGAACCUGAUCUGGGCCAGUAUGCCUUCUCUGACUAUCAGUGGCUCCCCAGAGUCCUUAGUAGAGAUUCAUCCCGGCCCUGCUGCCUUAUAUCUGUAAAAUGGCCCUAGAACCCGAGACCUCCCAAAUGCAAAGUGCAUGCUCUGCCUCUGAGCUCUGGACCCUUCCCAACAUUUUAAUAGGUUCAGUGCUAGGUCUAGUCAGCAUAGAAAACUCGCUACAGAGUCCAUGACCCCCCCCCAGUCCAAGCUUUGAAACUGUGAUGUGUACAUGCACCAGCCAGACCCAGGUCAUGAGAUAAUAUAAGAAAAACCUGGCUGCUGGGAUCAGGCCAGAGGGCAGGCCAGAGGGGGUCAAUCUAGUCCAGCAUCCUGUUCUCACAGUGGCCAACAAGAUGCCCCAUUGUGAAGCCCACCAGCAGUGCUAUCUCUACUCAUGUUCCUCAGCAACUGGCAUUCAGAGGUCUACCAACUCAGACAGUGACAGCAGAACACAGCCAUCAUGGCGAGUAGCCUUGACAGCCUUAUCCACCAUGAAUUUGUGUAAUCUCCCUUUUAAAGCCAUCAAAGUUGGUGGCUAUGACCACAUCACAUGGGAGCAAAUUUCAUAGCUUAGCUACGUGCAACUGUGUAAGAUGCCUUGGUUUAUUGGUUUCUGGGGAAGAAGUUUGAUCACCCUCCUGCUUUCUUCAUAUUCUUCCUAUGCUUCCAGUUGAGAUGAGGGAACAGAACACAAUCAGGAAAAGAUCAGAUGG